ensembl:lncRNA
UGCUGCUGAAAGCUGCGACAAGACUUAAUGCAUUCUUCUUUUCACAGGAUCUACAAGGUCUUAUAGAGCGACUCCAGAAUACCUCAUAGGAUGGAUCUGAAGCCAAUUGCAACCCUGCCUAAGGCUUUGGCUGCACACACCAAUGCCAGCACCGUGAAAAUACCCGCAACAGGCCAAGGGGCCACAAGCUUCUGCCUCCCUCAGGAACAAGAUCUGCUCCACUAUAUAAUUUCUUCAUAAGGAACAUGGAUAUAUUCAGAUUACAUAAAUCAAAACACUCAGCCAUCGAUACCACAAGAGGGACAAGGGACUGAUGCAAAGGGAAGCUAUGACUCUCAGAUCUGCUGGAAUUACAAAACCAGAACUUGAAUCAAAAUCUGUUGUUAUAUGUUAUCUUAAUACUUAAAUACUAUAAUACAUCUUCAAGUGUAAGCAAGAUUGCAUAAUGAGACUGAGCAAAAUAUGUUAAUUUUCUGUAAUUUCAACUUAUGUUUCUUUGUCAAAACAUGUAUGGAAAAGGCACAGCUGACCUGUGAUAUGGUUUGGCUAUUGUAAUUAUACAUUAGUAUUUCUAUAUUGUAAUAAAAC